UACGGGGGGGGCAAGCGUUGUUCGGAAUUACUGGGCGUAAAGGGCUCGUAGGCGGCCAACUAAGUCAUACGUGAAAUCCCCCGGCUUAACCGGGGAACUGCGUCUGAUACUGGAAGGCUUGAAUCCGGGAGAGGGAUGCGGAAUUCCAGGUGUAGCGGUGAAAUGCGUAGAUAUCUGGAGGAACACCGGUGGCGAAGGCGGCAUCCUGGACCGGCAUUGACGCUGAGGCGCGAAAGCCAGGGGAGCAAACGGG
rnacentral:rRNA from 1 species